rnacentral:rRNA from 1 species
UACGUAGGCAGCGAGCGUUUGUUCGGAGUUACUGGGCGUAAAGGGUGUGUAGGCGGUUCUUUAAGUUUGGUGUGAAAUCUCCCGGCUCAACCGGGAGGGUGCGCCGAAUACUGAGGGACUUCGAGUGCGGGAGAGGAAAGUGGAAUUCCUGGUGUAGCGGUGAAAUGCGUAGAUAUCAGGAGGAACACCGGUGGUGUAGACGGCUUUCUGGACCGUAACUGACGCUGAGACACGAAAGCGUGGGGUAGCAAACAGG